rnacentral:rRNA from 1 species
UACGGGGGGAGCAAGCGUUGUUCGGAUUUACUGGGCGUAAAGGGCGCGUAGGCGGUCAGCACAAGUCAGUUGUGAAAUCUCCGGGCUUAACUCGGAAAGGUCAACUGAUACUGUGCGACUAGAGUGCAGAAGGGGCAACUGGAAUUCUCGGUGUAGCGGUGAAAUGCGCAGAUAUCAGGAGGAACACCGACGGCGAAGGCAGCUUACUGGGCCGAAUACUGACGCUGGAGGAGCGAAAGUGUGGGGAGCGAACAGG